AGCUGCAGUCGAGAAUCUUUCGCAUGGGCGCAGCCUGACGAAGCGACGCCGYGUGAGCGAUGAAGGCCUUCGGGUUGUAAAGCUCUUUCGCUCGGGAACAAGAAAGGUAGGGAGAAUAGCCUGCUGACUUGAUGGUACUGGGUAAAGAAGCACCGGCUAACUCC
rnacentral:rRNA from 1 species